rnacentral:tRNA from 1 species
GAAGUUAUGGCUCAGUGGUAGAGUGUAUGCUUAGCAUGCACAAGGUCCUGAGUUCAAUCCUCAGCACCUCUA